rnacentral:misc_RNA from 1 species
AAUAGACUGCAGUUUACAUGUGAUUAAUGAACAGCUAGCUUUAAGAAUGAAUAGGAGAACAUGGUAGGAAAGGCCUAUAUAUCAAGAUCUUGGAUGUGGUGAAUAGUGGAUAGGUCCUUGAGAAGAUGUUCUAACAAUUGAUUUGAGUCUUUGUGUCUUCUGAUUUCCUUCAGGGCAGUAUAUUUUGCUAAUGAUGUUUCAAUAUUUUUGCCUUGUGGUUUUUAGAGCGCAAUUUCUAUAAACUUCGAUUUUGCUAGCAUCAGCAGAAACAACAUUCAUCUGAAUUAACCCAGCUCUAUGUGGAAGUUCUUUUAGUGUUUGAAGUGCUGGACAAUCACCCCCUUUUUUUUGCAGGAAUCAAGCAAGGCUACAGCGAAA